rnacentral:tRNA from 1 species
GGUGACUUAUUGGUAGAGUGCUUGCCUCAUAUGCAUGAGGCUCUGGGUUCAAAACCUCAGCACCA